GCCGGGAUAGCUCAGUUGGGAGAGCAGCAGACUGAAGUGCAUGUCUUGCAUGAUCACGUGCCCGAGUCACGUGUUCUGAAGGUCCCGUGUUCAAUCCACGGUCCUGGCA